CGAACGUUGGCGGCGUGGAUUAGGCAUGCAAGUCGAACGAGAAAGCCACCUUCGGGUGGUUAGUAAAGUGGCGAACGGGUGAGUAACGCGUGGGAAAUCUGCCCUACAGUUGGGGAUAACACUCCUAACGGAGUGCUAAUACCGAAUGAGACCACGAGAUCGCAUGGUCUUGAGGUUGAAGGUGGCCUCUCCUUGGAAGCUACCGCUGCAGGAGGAUCCCGCGUCCCAUUAGCUUGUUGGCAGGGUAACGGCCUACCAAGGCUUCGAUGGGUAGCUGGUCUGAGAGGAUGGUCAGCCACACUGGGACUGAGAUACGGCCCAGACUCCUACGGGAGGCAGCAGUCGAGAGGCUUCGGCAAUGGGGGAAACCCUGACCGAGCGACGCCGCGUGGGCGAUGAAGGUUGUAAGAUAACGUAAAGCCCUGUCAGGAGGGAAGAACUGCCAAUGGGCAAACAGGCCAUUGGUUUGACGGUACCUCCAGAGGAAGCUCCGGCUAACUCCGUG
rnacentral:rRNA from 1 species